rnacentral:misc_RNA from 1 species
AAAAACAAACAGAGGGUAACAUAAUAUUUAUCUAAAAUAUUACAUGCUAUUCCACUAUAGGUAGAGGGUGAAAACUUGUCAUACUAUUUUUACACCAUUUAAAGUAAUAUUGACAAGGUAUCUAUCUACAUUGCUGGGUUCUCUACACUUGCAGGAUAUAAUGAGUAUACACAUGAACUAAAAUCUAUUCAAUGCCAAAUCCUUCAAUCAACAUCAUUUGCAAGUCCUUUGAUUUCCUUGGAACAGUUGUUUGAUCUUUCCAAGCUCAUUUGGGCGUAGAAUUCUCACACUGGGCGAACAUUUUCUUGAUGGCUUCUUCUCUCUCAUCAAUGAAGUCAAAAAAGUGAAAAAUGACUUGAGAGCAGUGAGUGGUUGAUGAAUUUGAGGAUGAAGAAGCCAGUUCCAUUUGCCUACGUUUAUAGCGCACAAAUU